rnacentral:rRNA from 1 species
UUGUUGGCAAGGUAAAAGCUUACCAAGGCUUCGAUCAGUAGCUGGUCUGAGAGGACGACCAGCCACACUGGGACUGAGACACGGCCCAGACUCCUACGGGAGGCAGCAGUGGGGAAUUUUGGACAAUGGGGGCAACCCUGAUCCAGCCAUGCCGCGUGAGUGAAGAAGGCCUUCGGGUUGUAAAGCUCUUUCAGCCGGAACGAAACGGUUACGGAUAACACCCGUGACUACUGACGGUACCGGAAGAAGAAGCACCGGCUAACUACGUGCCAGCCGCGGUAAUACGUAGGGUGCGAGCGUUAAUCGGAAUUACUGGGCGUAAAGCGUGCGCAGGUGGUUUUGUAAGUCAGAUGUGAAAGCCCCGGGCUCAACCUGGGAACUGCGUUUGAAACUACAAGACUAGAGUGUGGCAGAGGGGGGUGGAAUUCCGCGUGUAGCAGUGAAAUGCGUAGAGAUGUGGAGGAACACCGAUGGCGAAGGCAGCCCCCUGGGUCAACACUGACGCUCAGGCACGAAAGCAUGGGGAGCAAACAGGAUUAGAUACCCUGGUAGUCCAUGCCCUAAACGAUGUCAACUAGUUGUCGGGCCUUUACGGGCUUGGUAACGUAGCUAACGCGUGAAGUUGACCGCCUGGGGAGUACGAUCGCAAGAUUAAAACUCAAAUGAAUUGACGGGGACCCGCACAAGCGGUGGAUUAUGUGGAUUAAUUCGAUGCAACGCGAAAAACCUUACCUACCCUUGACAUGUAUCGAAGCCCGCAGAAAAGCGGGGGUGCCCGAAAGGGAACGAUAACACAGGUGCUGCAUGGCUGUCGUCAGCUCGUGUCGUGAGAUGUUGGGUUAAGUCCCGCAACGAGCGCAACCCUUGUCAUUAAUUGCCAUCAUUUAGUUGGGCACUUUAAUGAGACUGCCGG